rnacentral:rRNA from 1 species
GACGAACCGUCCAAACGUUAUUCGGAAUCACUGGGCUUACAGAGUUCGUAGGCGGUCUGGAAAGUUGGGUGUGAAAUCCCUCGGCCUAACCGAGGAACUGCGCUUGAAACUACCAGACUCGAGGGAGAUAGAGGAAAGCGGAACUGAUGGUGGAGCGGUGAAAUGCGUUGAUAUCAUCAGGAACACCGGUGGCGAAGGCGGCUUUCUGGUCUGUAACUGACGCUGAGGCGCGAAAGCGUGGGGAGCAAACAGG